GACAGGGAUACAAAGCCUUCAAAAUCUGGCCCACAUUUUUCUCUUAGUCUUUAAUUCCUACCCUUUUCAUCUAUACCCUGCAUUCAGGCCAUAUAAAAUUUCUCAGUUUUCUCCAAACAUGUCAGACCUUUUUAUGACCCUUAGUUCUAGUAUACACUGUUCCCUCUGCAUAAAGCAUUUUUUUCUUUCCUCACUGGAGAAAUUAUAACAAUUUCUCUAAAAAGAAACUCCAAUGUAACCUCAUUUGUGACAUUUUUCCCAUAUCUUCUUAGUAAAAUUGGUUCUGUCCUCUGUAUUUAUUAUCAUUAUUAUUAAAGCAUGUUGAUUUAGUGUUGUGCCAGUUUCUGCUGUACAGCAUAGUGACCCAGUCAAUAUACAUGUGUGUGUCACACCCACACACACACAUUCCUUUUUUCAUACUGUCUUCCAUCAUGUUCUUUCCCAAGAGACUGGAUAUAGUUCCUUGUGCUACACAGUAGGACCUCAUUGCUUAUCCAUUCUAAAUGUAAUAGUUUCUAUCUACCAACCUCAAAAUCCCCAUCCAUCCCACUUCCUCCCCUGUCCUUGGCAACCACAAGCCUAUUCUCUACGUCUGUGAGUCUGAUUCUGUUUUGUAUACAGGUUCAUAGAUGCAACAAUAUAUCCUAACCAUCACUGUAUCCCUAUACCCUAGUACUUGCCUAUAACAGAGUUUACUAAAAGAAUGGAUACAUGAAUUUGUUAAUUCAAACACAUAAGAAACUAGAGCCAUUUUCUUGGGAGUUGUCUAUUUCUUCAAAGGAAAUAAAAAUUGAGGCACAUGGAGUUCCCAGUGUGGCUCAGUGGUUAGCGAACCCAACUACCAUCCAUGAGGAUGCGGGUUCAAUCCCUGGCCUUGCUCAGUGGGUUAAGAAUCCGGCGUUGUCAUGAGCUGUGGUGUAGGUCGCACAGGCAGCUUGGAUCCCACGUUGCUGUGGCUCUGGCCUAGGCUGGCAGCUGUAGUUCCAAUUUGACCCUUGGCCUGGGAACCUCCAUAUGCUGUGGGUGCAGCCCUAAAAAGACAAAAAGACAAAAAAAAAAAUGUGAGGCACAGAAGUAUCGAUUCUAAGGGAGGAAAGAGGAAGAAAGGGAAGAAAAAGUGGUAUGUACUUCAGAAAUAAAAUGCAUCCUGAGUCCUGAGGCCAUUUGCAUUGUGUUCUCUCUCCUUUCUCUCCAUUGUUCUUUAAAAAUAAAUUAAUUAAAAAUUAAAAAAGCACAUGAAUAGGCCAAAAAGUAAAUGGGUGGCCUAUAUUACUGCUGCAUCAGUUUGCAUAGAAAGAGCAAAUCAAAUAAAAUUAGAAUUAGAAAAAAAUCUUAGCAAUCACCCUAUCCAAACUCUUCAUUUACUCAGUGAGAAAAACAAUAAGUUUAAUAUGUUUGAAUUGUCUAAAAUCACCCAGUAAGUAAGUAGUAUAACCUUAAUUUGAGUUUUGUAAAACAAAGAUUAAUGAUCCCUUCAUCACCGCAUAUUUUUCUUUCAGAUAUUUCUUGGUUCUCAGAAUUUAAAACACAUUCUUAUUCUUUAUGCCAUCAUUUCGAUUUCUAUUUGUUUCAAACAUACUCUACAUGCUUAAAAGCAAUUUUCUAAUAUAGCACUACCUGAGAACAUUUGUGGAAAUACAAAGGAAGAUAAACACGAAAAAGCCUGGUCAUAUAUAAAAUUCUGCUUAAUGAAGAAUGUCAGAAGUUCAACCAAGUUGUAUGCAUACAACAGGAGCCUAUGGCACUUAAAUGCACAUAAUUUAAAACCUCAAUGCCUUUUCCACAAAGUCCCUUAUUUUCAUUGUUAUGUUUUGACGUAGAUGACUAUAUAGCAGGCAAAUGCCAGCAUUCACAGCCCUAGUCCUAGUUUGUCUGAGAAAAUUAUGCCAAACAUACAGUGCCAUCUGCUCCUGUAGUGAUGCCAUCCUUCCAUUUUUCAGCACAGUGAUAAACAAUCCAACUUCAAGUCAUUCUCCGAGCUCCAUAAGCACUUCCAGGCAGAAAAGGGGAGGGGAUAUGGGCCCCCAUGUCUCAUCCAAAGUGAUGCAUAUGAAACAGAAACAGCCUCACAGAUAUAGAGAACAAACUAGUGGUUACCAGUGGAGAGAAGGUUUGGGGGAAGAACAAAAUAGGGGGAUGAGAUUACUAGGGACAAACUGCUAUUAUAAAAUAAAUAAGAUACAGGGAUAUAUUAUACAGCACAGGUAAUAUAAACAAUAUUUUAAAAUACCUGUAACUAGAUUAUAAUCUAUAAAAAUAUUGAAUCACUAUCUUGUACACAUGAACUAAUAUGUUGUAAAUGAACUAUUAAAAAAUUAUGCAGGAGUUCCCAUCGUGGCUCAGUGGUUAACAAACCCGACUAGUAACCAUGAGGUUGCGGGUUCAAUCCCUGGCCUUGCUCAGUGGGUUAAGGAUCCAGCAUUGCCGUGAGCUGUGGUGUAGGUCUCAGACACGGCUUGGAUCCUGUGUUGCUGUGGCUGUGGCAUAGGCCGGCAGCUGCAGCUCCAAUUUGAUCACUAGCCUGGAAAACUCCAGAUGCCAUGGAUGUGGCCCUAAAAGGCAAAAAAGAAAAAAGAAAAAGAAAAAAGAAAAAAGAAAAAAAAAUGAUGCAAAGAGCAGAGAAGGGGAAGGAAGACGCAGUGAGUGAACACUAAAAGUAAUGAAUAAGAGGACAAUCCUAGAAAUACCAAAAAAGUCACAGGACAGAUCAUCUCUUAUUUUACAAAUGUUCUGAUGGUGAUGAUAAGGCAGAAGAGAGGUAGAGUAGGGUUGGGGAUGAGUCAUUUCAGAACAUUGUGAAAUCAACAAGCCUCAUAUGAAUAUCUCCAUUCUCAAUUUUUUAUGACUCUGAUCAAAUUGUCACUUAUAAAGAAAUGGUCAGGAAAUGGACAUCUAAUUAGAAAACAAGCUGAUAAAAUUAUAUAGAAUGGUGCGGUGUUAACAAUUUACGUAGGGCUCACAUACCAUUUUCAGGAAGACAUAAAAGUGAGGUCAUAGAACUCUGAUCUCAAUAAAAUGAUGUGAAAGAUGAGAGAAUUUUAAGUCUGGCAGUGACCAUUAUCUAACAUUUAAAUUGCUUCUCCAAUUCCCAUAUUUUGUAUUGAACUGCCUUUUGUUUGUCCACAAUCAGUGAUAGGAAACUCAUUACUUUGUUUUAUCAGACCAGGACAUUUCUAUGUAUAUAUUCUCCAGACUUUCCAGAUCUUUUUCAAUAGGUACCUGUCACAUGGCCCCUUAGUUUGUGAAUAAACCAAAGUGUUAUAUGUUAUCAAUAUCAUCCUCUAAGACACUAAUAGAUAAGUUGAAGAAAUAUUUAAGAAAAUUAACAUGUCAAGAGAUAAGUCUGCUGAUUUAAGAAUGAAACUCCUUGGAGUUCCCAUCAUGGUUCAGGGAAAACAAAUAUGACUAAUAUCCAUAAGGAUGCAGGUUUGAGCCCUAGCCUGGCUCAGUGGGUUAAGGAUCCUGCAUUGCUGUGGCUGUGGUGUAGGAGGCAGCUAUAGCUCCGAUUCAACCCCUGGCCUGGGAACCUCCAUAUGCCAUGGGAGUGGCCCUGAAAACCAAAAAAAAAAAA
rnacentral:lncRNA from 1 species